rnacentral:rRNA from 1 species
AAGUAUUAAAGGUCCUGCCUGCCCAGUGAUUUUUUCAACGGCCGCGGUAUUCUAACCGUGCAAAGGUAGCGUAAUCACUUGUCUUUUAAAUAAAGACCUGUAUGAACGGCUAAAUGAGGAUAAACCUGUCUCUUAUAACUAAUCAGUGAAACUGAUCUUCCAGUACAAAAGCUGGGAUAAUUACAUAAGACGAGAAGACCCUGUGGAGCUUAAAACAAACCGCUAAACAAACGUCACCUUGCUUUAACGUACGUUUUCAGUUGGGGCGACUUCGGAAUAGAAAACAACUUCCGAGCACAGAGCCACAAUCUCUAGCCGAGGCCAACAAGCCAAAGCACAAAACCGACCCGGCCUUGCCGAUCAACGAACCAAGUUACCCCAGGGAUAACAGCGCAAUCUUCUUCGAGAGCCCCUAUCAACAAGAAGGUUUACGACCUCGAUGUUGGAUCAGGACACCCAAAUGGUGCAGCCGCUAUUAAAGGUUCGUUUGUUCAACGAUUAAUAGUCCUACGUGAUCUGAGUUCAGACCGGAG